rnacentral:rRNA from 1 species
UACGGGAGGCAGCAGUGGGGAAUAUUGCACAAUGGGCGAAAGCCUGAUGCAGCUAUGCCGCGUGUAUGAAGAAGGCCUUAGGGUUGUAAAGUACUUUCAUCGGGGAGGAAAAACAAAACUAAUAAUUUUAUUUCUUGACGUUACCCGAAAAAGAAGCACCGGCUAACUCCGUGCCAGCAGCCGCGGUAAUACGGAGGGUACUAGCGUUAAUCAGAAUUACUGGGCGUAAAGAGCACGUAGGUGGUUUUUUUAAAGUCAGAUGUGAAAUCCCUGGGCUUAACCUAGGAACUGCAUUUUGAAACUGAAAUACUAGAGUAUCGUAGAGGGAGGUAGAAUUCUAGGUGUAGCGGUGAAAUGCGUAGAUAUCUGGAGGAAUACCUGUGGCGAAAGCGGCCUCCUAAACGAAUACUGACACUGAGGGUGCGAAAGCGUGGGGAGCAAACGAGGAUUAGAUACC